UACGUAGGGGGCGAGCGUUGUCCGGAGUUACUGGGCGUAAAGGGCACGCAGGCGGUGCGGCGCGUUUCGCGUGACAGCGGAGGGCUUAACUCUCCGAGGAUGCGAAAGACGGCGGCACUUGAGGGCCAGAGAGGGACACGGGAAUUCCGGGGUGGGAGUGGUGAAAUGCGUAGAGAUCCGGAGGAACACCCGAAGGCGAAGGCAGUGUCCUGGCUGGUGACUGACGCUGAGGUGCGAAAGCUAGGGGAGCGAACGGG
rnacentral:rRNA from 1 species